GAUGAACGCUGGCGGCGUGCCUAAUACAUGCAAGUCGAGCGAAUGGAUUAAGAGCUUGCUCUUAUGAAGUUAGCGGCGGACGGGUGAGUAACACGUGGGUAACCUGCCCAUAAGACUGGGAUAACUCCGGGAAACCGGGGCUAAUACCGGAUAACAUUUUGAACCGCAUGGUUCGAAAUUGAAAGGCGGCUUCGGCUGUCACUUAUGGAUGGACCCGCGUCGCAUUAGCUAGUUGGUGAGGUAACGGAUCACCAAGGCAACGAUGCGUAGCCGACCUGGGAGGGUGAUCGGCCACACUGGGACUGAGACACGGCCCAGACUCCUACGGGAGGCAGCAGUAGGGAAUCUUCCGCAUUGGACGAAAGUCUGACGGAGCAACGCGGCGUGAGUGAUGAAGGCUUUCGGGUCGUAAAACUCUGUUGUUAGGGAAGGACAAGUGCUAGUUGAAUAAGCUGGCACCUUGACGGUACCUAACCAGAAAGCCACGGCUAACUACGUGCCAGCCGCCGCAGUAA
rnacentral:rRNA from 1 species